rnacentral:lncRNA from 1 species
AUGUCACUUUGUAUAAUCCCACAAUUAUUCUCAAAAUGGGAUGGAGUAUCUUGAGCCAAGGUCUGAAUUCCUGCAAAUUCAGAUGGAAACAUCAUGGCUAGAUAUAGUAGAGCAAAUCUGAGGUUUGGUUUAUUCUUGUUUUGAAGAGAAUGGCUAAAUAUGUAAGAUUAAAUGUGGGUUGGACAGCAUGCUAAUGGAUGGCUUUUUAUAGGAGAAGGCAAGAAAUGUGGGCUACAAAGAAAAACAGUUGUGAAAGCUUACGGAAGCAGAACUGUGACAUGCCAUAGUAAGAGCACUUCAAAUGUGUGUGAUGUAUGCAUGUAAUGAUUGGAAC